rnacentral:rRNA from 1 species
GACGAACGCUGGCGGCGUGCUUAACACAUGCAAGUCGAACGAAGUGGCGAACGGGUGAGUAACGCGUAAUAAACCUGCCCUUCAGAGGGGGACAACAGUUGGAAACGACUGCUAAUACCGCAUACUGAAGGAGGGGAUUGCGUCUGAAUAGCUAGUUGGAGGGGUAACGGCCCACCAAGGCGAUGAUCAGUAGCCGGUUUGGGAGGAUGAACUGCAAAAUGGGGACUGAGGCAAGGCCCAGACUCCUACGGGAGGCAGCAGUGGGGAAUCGUCCGAAAUGGACGGAAGUCUGACGGAGCAACGCCGCGUGAGUUAUGACGGCCUUCGGGUUGUAAAGCUCUGUUAAGCGGGACGCGGUACCGGAAUAGAAAGCCACGGCUAACUACGUGCCAGCAGCCGCGGUAAUUC